CCUACGGGUGGCUGCAAUGGGGAAUAUUGGACAAUGGGGGGAACCCUGAUCCAGCCAUGCCGCGUGUGUGAAGAAGGCCCUCGGGUUGUAAAGCACUUUCAGUGAGGAAGAACGCCUGGUGGUUAAUACCCAUCAGGAAAGACAUCACUCACAGAAGAAGCACCGGCUAACUCCGUGCCAGCAGCCGCGGUAAUACGGAGGGUGCGAGCGUUAAUCGGAAUUACUGGGCGUAAAGCGCGCGUAGGUGGCUUGAUAAGCCGGUUGUGAAAGCCCCGGGCUCAACCUGGGAACGGCAUCCGGAACUGUCAAGCUAGAGUGCAGGAGAGGAAGGUAGAAUUCCCGGUGUAGCGGUGAAAUGCGUAGAGAUCGGGAGGAAUACCAGUGGCGAAGGCGGCCUUCUGGACUGACACUGACACUGAGGUGCGAAAGCGUGGGUAGCAAACAGGAUUAGAUACCCGAGUAGUC
rnacentral:rRNA from 1 species